rnacentral:rRNA from 1 species
GACGAACGCUGGCGGCGCGCCUAACACAUGCAAGUCGAACGGAGAAUGCAGGACUGAAGCCUUCGGGCAGAUGGCUUGUAUUCUUAGUGGCGGACGGGUGAGUAACACGUGAGCAACCUGCCUUCAAGAGGGGGAUAGCACCUGGAAACGGGUGGUAAUACCGCAUAAGACCACAGCAUCGCAUGGUGCAGAGGUCAAAGGAGCAAUCCGCUUGAAGAUGGGCUCGCGUCCGAUUAGAUAGUUGGUGAGGUAACGGCUCACCAAGUCGACGAUCGGUAGCCGGACUGAGAGGUUGAACGGCCACAUUGGGACUGAGACACGGCCCAGACUCCUACGGGAGGCAGCAGUGGGGGAUAUUGCACAAUGGGCGAAAGCCUGAUGCAGCGACGCCGCGUGAGGGAAGACGGCCUUCGGGUUGUAAACCUCUGUCAUUCGGGACGAAUUAGAUGACGGUACCGAAGAAGGAAGU